GAACGUGCGAAACGUAAUGUGAAUUGCAGAAUUCAGUGAAUCAUCGAAUCUUUGAACGCAUCUUGCGCUCCUUGGUAUUCCGAGGAGCAUGCCUGUUUGAGUGUCGUGAAUAACUCUCAAUCUCAAAUAUUUUAUUUAUUUGAAAUUGGAUUUGGGUGUUGUCGUAAGUUUUAUUGACUCAUCCUAAAUGCAUUAGCGAUCUGCCCCGAUCACACAACAAUGUGAUAAGUAAAAAAUAAAGCAUUGUCAUGGUUGGGUUGGAGAUGGCUUCUAACCGUCGUAAAAGACAAACCAAAAACAUGUCGUUUGACCUCAAAUCAGGUAGGACUACCCGCUGAACUUAA
rnacentral:misc_RNA from 1 species